rnacentral:rRNA from 1 species
GUGCCAGCCGCCGCGGUAAUACGUAGGGGGCAAGCGUUGUCCGGAUUUACUGGGUGUAAAGGGCGCGCAGGUGGAUUUGCAAGUCAGGGGUGAAAUCUCACGGCUUAACCGUGAAAGUGCCUUUGAUACUGCAAAUCUUGAGUUCGGAAGAGAGAGACGGAAUUCCAGGUGUAGUGGUGAAAUACGUAGAUAUCUGGAAGAACACCAGUUGCGAAGGCGGUCUCUUGGUCCGAUACUGACACUCAGGCGCGAAAGCGUGGGUAGCAAACAGGAUUAGAAACCCGCGUAGUCC